UGGGGAUUAUUGCACAAUUGGGCAAACCCUGAUGCAGCGACGCCGCGUGAGCGAAUAAGGCUUUCGAGUCGUAAAGCUCUUUCCUAUGAGAAGAUAAUGACGUCAUCAUAGGAGGAAGCCCUGGCUAAAUACGUGCCAGCAGCCGCGGCAAUACGUAUGGGGCGAGCGUUGUCCGGAAUUAUUGGGCGUAAAGGGUCUGUAGGUGGUUUUUUAAGUCAGGUGUCAAAGCGUGGAGCUUAACUCCAGUGAGCACUUGAAACUGAAAGAGUUGAGUGAAGAAGAGGAAAGGGGAAUUCCGGGGGGAGCGGUGAAAUGCGUAGGAAUUAGGGGGAAAACCGGGGGCGAAGGGGACUUUCUGGACGGAUACUGACGCUAAGGUAGGAAAGGGGGGGGGGGAAACAGG
rnacentral:rRNA from 1 species